GGCCUGCUACUCAUGGUGAAGGCAGCUAGCUCUAAACCUCCCUUAGUGAGGGAUGACCUGUGUGUAUGGAUUCAACAUGAAAGACUGAGGAGAUCCGUUAUCAAAAUGUACCAAAGAGUUGUACUGGGACGUGUGCCAGGCACUUGUGAUACAGCCAAUAGAGAGCAGACCAGCCUCUGUAAAUUUGUGCUUACUGAUAUCAAGCUAGGACUAUGCCUUUGUCUAGUUGGAAUCAGACAGCUGUUGCAAAGAUGCCAGGACUGCAUUAGUCCCUCUGCUUCUUGGUCCCACUCUAAGAAUACUAGAAGACAGAGCUGAAGACAGGAUGGUGCUGAACACGCAAUCGUGCACACAGCCUGGAAUCUUCUCUCAAGGAACUGUUUGAAGGCUACUGAGCUGAACAAAGACUCGGAGCAAUUCAACAAGUCUGAGGUUUCUUAAGGCAUUUUUAUUAUU
rnacentral:lncRNA from 1 species